rnacentral:rRNA from 1 species
AAAUUGAAGAGUUUGAUCAUGGCUCAGAUUGAACGCUGGCGGCAGGCCUAACACAUGCAAGUCGAGCGGAAACGAGUUAUCUGAACCUUCGGGGAACGAUAAAGGCGUCGAGCGGCGGACGGGUGAGUAAUGCCUAGGAAAUUGCCCUGAUGUGGGGGAUAACCAUUGGAAACGAUGGCUAAUACCGCAUGAUGCCUACGGGCCAAAGAGGGGGACCUUCGGGCCUCUCGCGUCAGGAUAUGCCUAGGUGGGAUUAGCUAGUUGGUGAGGUAAGGGCUCACCAAGGCGACGAUCCCUAGCUGGUCUGAGAGGAUGAUCAGCCACACUGGAACUGAGACACGGUCCAGACUCCUACGGGAGGCAGCAGUGGGGAAUAUUGCACAAUGGGCGCAAGCCUGAUGCAGCCAUGCCGCGU